CGAGAAGGCGUAGCAAUACGCUUGUACAGUGGCGAACGGGUGAGGAGUACGUGGGUGACUUACCCUCGAGAGGGGAAUAACUUGCCGAAAGGUGAGCUAAUACCCCGUACGCUUCCGGCUUUGCGGAGCCGGAAGGAAAGCUGUGCCGUUGGGUACGGCGCUCAAGGAUGGGCUCACGUCCUAUCAGCUUGUUGGUAGGGUAACGGCCUACCAAGGCAACGACGGGUAGCUGGUCUGAGAGGACGAUCAGCCACACUGGCACUGCGACACGGGCCAGACUCCUACGGGAGGCAGCAGUGAGGAAUAUUGCGCAAUGGGCGAAAGCCUGACGCAGCGACGCCGCGUGGGGGAUGAAGGUCUUCGGAUUGUAAACCCCUUUCGGGAGGGAAGAUGGGGCGGGCAACCGCUCGGACGGUACCUCCAGAAGCAGCCACGGCUAACUUCGUGCCAGCAGCCGCGGUAAUACGAAGGUGGCAAGCGUUGUUCGGAUUUACUGGGCGUAAAGAGAGCGUAGGCGGUUGGGUAAGCCCUGUGGGAAAUCUCCCGGCUUAACCGGGAAAGGUCGCAGGGGACUGCUUGGCUAGAGGGCGGGAGAGGAGCGCGGAAUUCCCGGUGUAGCGGUGAAAUGCGUAGAGAUCGGGAGGAAGGCCGGUGGCGAAGGCGGCGCUCUGGAACGUACCUGACGCUGAGGCUCGAAAGCGUGGGGAGCAAACAGGAUUAGAUACCCUGGUAGUCCACGCCCUAAACGAUGGACACUAAGUGUCGGCGGUUUACCGUCGGUGCCGCAGCUAACGCAUUAAG
rnacentral:rRNA from 1 species